rnacentral:rRNA from 1 species
CCUACGGGAGGCAGCAGUGAGGAAUAUUGGUCAAUGGACGAGAGUCUGAACCAGCCAAGUAGCGUGAAGGAUGACUGCCCUAUGGGUUGUAAACUUCUUUUAUAUGGGAAUAAAAUGUUCCACGUGUGGGAUUUUGUAUGUACCAUAUGAAUAAGGAUCGGCUAACUCCGUGCCAGCAGCCGCGGUAAUACGGAGGAUCCGAGCGUUAUCCGGAUUUAUUGGGUUUAAAGGGAGCGUAGGUGGAUUGUUAAGUCAGUUGUGAAAGUUUGCGGCUCAACCGUAAAAUUGCAGUUGAAACUGGCAGUCUUGAGUACAGUAGAGGUGGGCGGAAGUCGUGGUGUAGCGGUGAAAUGCUUAGAUAUCACGAAGAACUCCGAUUGCGAAGGCAGUUCACUGGACUGCAACUGACACUGAGGCUCGAAAGUGUGGGUAUCAAACAGGAUUAGAUACCCCAGUAUC